GAAGAUGACCGGCCUUUGGACGUCGGCGAUGUGCUGGAAGUGUUCAGAGCCGUUGAUCUGGUUCAAAUUGUUUUAAUCUCACACGUUGGUUUUGAUUACCAUUCCUAUGGCGCAUUGACUUAAGUUCACGAUGGAAAGCGCGUUGAGGACCACUUGAUCAGCCACCUCAAUAAAUGAGGGAGACCAAGUGGUCCAUGUUUUUUUUGUUAUUUU
rnacentral:lncRNA from 1 species